UUUUCCAUUGUUAUACACAGGCAUUUAAUUUGUGUAAUGUAAACUUUGACCAGGGCGUUUACUUGUUUUCUGGUUUAGCAUCAGUCACUAAAAAGUAAAUAAAAUUACCAGGCAUGUUGUCUCAUGCCUGUAAUCCCAGCACUUUGGGAGGCCAAGGCAGGUGGAUCGCCUGAGGUCAGGAGUUCAAGACCAGCCUGACCAACAUGGUGAAACCCCAUCUCUACUAAAAAUACAAAAAUUAGCCAGGCGUGAUGGUGGGCCCCUGUAAUCCAAACUACUCAGGAGGCUGAGGCAGAAGAAUCACUUGAACCAGGGAGGCAGAGACUGCCGUAAGCCAAGAUCACACCACUGCACUCUAUCUAGCCUGAGCAACAGAGUGAGACUCUGUCUCAAAAAAAAAAAAAAAAGUAAAUAAAAUUAAUUUUCAAUACGUUUUACAGGCAAUAUUUUAUGGUUCCUCUUCAUUUUAAUUGGUUUUAAUUAUCUCAAGAGUUUUACUAGAACUUGAAGUAACAGUGAACUAUGUUUAACCUCUUUUGUUGUAAUUUUUAACAAAUAUUUGUUCAUUUUUGCUUUUCUAUAAUCUUUUCUUUGGGGGGAGGGUCUUUACUUAAUUUAGAUACUAAUAAGGCUCAUAAUGCCUUAGUAUUAUCUGGCUGUACUUUUAACCCUCAUGUACUUCCAUUUUAUGUUGGUCCUGCCCUUUGCAUUUUGAACAACAUUUUCCUUACGUAGGUACUUUUCCCAUCACUUUAUCAAUCCAGAGUUUGUUUAGAGUCACAAGAAUAAGGAUUCUUUGUCCAAGAAAAGCUGCAUACCCCAGUGUCGCCAUAGGGCCAACUCUCACAUCCUCCUCUUUCCGGAGCCACUAGUUCUUAGGCACGGCCUUACUGCUCUUAUAUUCCUCCUUUCUUUCUUUCUUUUUUUUUUUGAUGUUCUUUGACUGUCCUGUGGGAGAGUUUGUAAAGCAAAUUGAUGUCAUACUCUAGUCUCUGCAGUUUCUCCUAGUUGUUUCUUUUUAUAAGAUCUGUGCAUUGAUGACUUUCUUUUUUAUUAUUCCAAAUA
rnacentral:lncRNA from 10 species